AGGCUCAGAAGUGCCCCUGUUUGUUGCAGGUUCAGAUCUCCAGUUGGUUUAUCUGACUGAGCUGGAGCUGGAGGGUCUGGUGGCAGCUUCCCCCCUUGCCAAGACCCUGUGUGAGAUCAAGGAAGCUUUGGUGAAUCUGCAGCAAGCCCCAGCCCUUGGUAAUUCAGGCAGCAAACAUCCAAACAGCCUGGGGAGCUCAGCCCUCCUCUGACUGCUGGACUCCUGGGAUGAAGGCCUG